CGACGACGCCUGCUUUUGUUUACCCUUCCGAGCGAGCACGCUAAACAUAUUCUGAGGAUCACCUUUGAUCUCAACUCCUAUAGCUUCCCCUACCGUUCUUACAUCGUCUGCAGCCACCUUAUCAUUACCCUGCAUAACUACCCAGUGCUUCCAAUCAUUAGAAGUCGUUGAAGGCGACACGGUGGAAGAAACUGGAUGACGCUCUCCACCAUCCUUA
rnacentral:lncRNA from 1 species